UACGGGAGGCAGCAGUGGGAAUCUUGCGCAAUGGGCGAAAGCCUGACGCAGCAACGCCGCGUGGGGAUGAAGGCUCUCGGGUUGUAAACCCCUUCAGCAGGGACGAAAUUGACGGUACCUGCAGAAGAACGCCCCGGCUAACUACGUGCCAGCAGCCGCGGUAACACGGUAGGGGGCAAGCGUUGUCCGGAUUUAUUGGGACGUAAAGAGCUCGUAGGUGGCUAAGUAAGUCGGGUGUCAAAUCCCCAGGCUCAACCUGGGUCUCCACCCGAUACUGCUUUGGCUAGAGUCCGGUAGGGGAGCGUGGAAUUCCUGGUGUAGCGGUGAAAUGCGCAGAUAUCAGGAGGAACACCAGCGGCGAAGGCGGCGCUCUGGGCCGGUACUGACACUGAGGAGCGAAAGCGUGGGUAGCAAACAGGAUUAGAUACCCUGGUAGUCCACGCCGUAAACGUUGGGCACUAGGUGUGGGGUCUAUUCAA
rnacentral:rRNA from 1 species